AACGCGAAGAACCUUACCUAGACUUGACAUCUCCUGAAUUACUCGUAAUGGAGGAAGCCCUUCGGGGCAGGAAGACAGGUGGUGCAUGGUUGUCGUCAGCUCGUGUCGUGAGAUGUUAGGUUAAGUCCUGCAACGGGCGCAACCCUUAUCAUUAGUUGCUACCAUUAAGUUGAGCACUCUAGUGAGACUGCCGUGGUUAACGCGGAGGAAGGUGGGGAUGACGUCAAAUCAUCAUGCCCCUUAUGUCUAGGGCUACACACGUGCUACAAUGGGUGAUACAAAGAGAAGCAAUACAGUAAUGUGGAGCAAAACUAUAAAAUCACCCUCAGUUCGGAUUGUAGGCUGAAACUCGCCUACAUGAAGCUGGAGUUGCUAGUAAUCGCGAAUCAGCAUGUCGCGGUGAAUACGUUCCCGGGCCUUGUACACACCG
rnacentral:rRNA from 1 species